CCCUUAGAUGUCCUGGGCCGCACGCGUGCUACACUGACGCAUACAGCGAGCACUUUCCAGUUCCGAGAGGCUACUGGUAAUCAUCAAUAUGCGUCGUGAUGGGGAUAGAUCUUUGGAAUUCUGGAUCUUGAACGAGGAAUGCCUAGUAAUCGCAGGUCAUUAGCCUGCGAUGAUUAAGUCCCUGCCCUUUGUACACACCGCCCGUCGCUACUACCGAUUUCGAGUGGUCAGGUGAAUCUUUCGGACUGUGGGCGCCCUUGAGGUGUUCGCGGAAAGUCAGGUAAAUCUUAUCACUUAGAGGAUGUAAAANUCGUAACA
rnacentral:rRNA from 1 species